rnacentral:rRNA from 1 species
AACAAACGCUGGCGGCGUGCAUAACACAUGCAAGUCUGACGGGAAAGUCGGCUUCGGCUGGCAAGUACCGUGGCGAACGGGUGAGUAACACGUGGGUAAUCUAACCUCGAGUUUGGGAUAACCCUGCGAAAGCGGGGCUAAUACCGAAUAAGACCACGCUUGGUCCGCCAAGCGCGGUAAAAGGCGGCCUCUUCAUGAAAGCUGUCACUCGGGGAUGAGCCCGCGGCCUAUUAGCUAGUUGGUGGGGUAAUGGCCUACCAAGGCGACGAUGGGUAGCCGGCCUGGGAGGGUGUACGGCCACACUGGCACUGAGGUACGGGCCAGAAUCCUACGGGAGGCAGCAGUGGGGAAUUUUGCGCAAUGGGGGAAACCCUGACGCAGCAACGCCGCGUGAGUGAUGAAGGCCUUCGGGUCGUAAAGCUCUUUUAGUGGGGAAGAAUCCCACCCGGGCUAAUACCUCGGGUGUCUGACGGUACCCACAGAAAAAGUUCCGGCUAACUACGUGCCAGCAGCCGCGGUAACAC